rnacentral:rRNA from 1 species
AAUAUUCCUGUACUUGGUGUUACUGUGAAGGGGGGACGGAGAAGGCUAUGUUGGCCGGGCGACGGUUGUCCCGGUUUAAGCGUGUAGGCUGGUUUUCCAGGCAAAUCCGGAAAACUAAGGCUGAGGCGUGAUGACGAGGCACUACGGUGCUGAAGCAACAAAUGCCCUGCUUCCAGGAAAAGCCUCUAAGCAUCAGGUAACAUCAAAUCGUACCCCAAACCGACACAGGUGGUCAGGUAGAGAAUACCAAGGCGCUUGAGAGAACUCGGGUGAAGGAACUAGGCAAAAUGGUGCCGUAACUUCGGGAGAAGGCACGCUGAUAUGUAGGUGAAGUCCCUCGCGGAUGGAGCUGAAAUCAGUCGAAGAUACCAGCUGGCUGCAACUGUUUAUUAAAAACACAGCACUGUGCAAACACGAAAGUGGACGUAUACGGUGUGACGCCUGCCCGGUGCCGGAAGGUUAAUUGAUGGGGUCAGCGCAAGCGAAGCUCUUGAUCGAAGCCCCGGUAAACGGCGGCCGUAACUAUAACGGUCCUAAGGUAGCGAAAUUCCUUGUCGGGUAAGUUCCGACCUGCACGAAUGGCGUAAUGAUGGCCAGGCUGUCUCCACCCGAGACUCAGUGAAAUUGAACUCGCUGUGAAGAUGCAGUGUACCCGCGGCAAGACGGAAAGACCCCGUGAACCUUUACUAUAGCUUGACACUGAACAUUGAGCCUUGAUGUGUAGGAUAGGUGGGAGGCUUUGAAGUGUGGACGCCAGUCUGCAUGGAGCCGACCUUGAAAUACCACCCUUUAAUGUUUGAUGUUCUAACGUUGACCCGUAAUCCGGGUUGCGGACAGUGUCUGGUGGGUAGUUUGACUGGGGCGGUCUCCUCCUAAAGAGUAACGGAGGAGCACGAAGGUUGGCUAAUCCUGGUCGGACAUCAGGAGGUUAGUGCAAUGGCAUAAGCCAGCUUGACUGCGAGCGUGACGGCGCGAGCAGGUGCGAAAGCAGGUCAUAGUGAUCCGGUGGUUCUGAAUGGAAGGGCCAUCGCUCAACGGAUAAAAGGUACUCCGGGGAUAACAGGCUGAUACCGCCCAAGAGUUCAUAUCGACGGCGGUGUUUGGCACCUCGAUGUCGGCUCAUCACAUCCUGGGGCUGAAGUAGGUCCCAAGGGUAUGGCUGUUCGCCAUUUAAAGUGGUACGCGAGCUGGGUUUAGAACGUCGUGAGACAGUUCGGUCCCUAUCUGCCGUGGGCGCUGGAGAACUGAGGGGGGCUGCUCCUAGUACGAGAGGACCGGAGUGGACGCAUCACUGGUGUUCGGGUUGUCAUGCCAAUGGCACUGCCCGGUAGCUAAAUGCGGAAGAGAUAAGUGCUGAAAGCAUCUAAGCACGAAACUUGCCCCGAGAUGAGUUCUCCCUGACUCCUUGAGAGUCCUGAAGGAACGUUGAAG